rnacentral:rRNA from 1 species
AACGUUAGCGGCGCGCCUAACACAUGCAAGUCGCACGAGAAAGGGCUUCGGCCCCAGUAAAGUGGCGCACGGGUGAGUAACACGUGGGUAAUCUGCCCUCGGGCGGGGGAUAACAUUCCGAAAGGAGUGCUAAUACCGCAUAAGACCACGGUCCCGAAAGGGACUGAGGUCAAAGCUGGCCUCUUCAUGAAAGCUAGCACCUGAGGAUGAGCCCGCGGCCCAUCAGCUAGUUGGCAGGGUAAUGGCCUACCAAGGCGAAGACGGGUAGCUGGUCUGAGAGGAUGAUCAGCCACACUGGAACUGAGACACGGUCCAGACUCCUACGGGAGGCAGCAGUGGGGAAUCUUGCGCAAUGGGCGAAAGCCUGACGCAGCGACGCCGCGUGAGUGAUGAAGGCCUUCGGGUUGUAAAGCUCUGUGGGGAGAGACGAAUAAGUGCAGCCUAAUACGUUGCAUGAUGACGGUAUCUCCUUAGCAAGCACCGGCUAACUCUGUGCCAGCAGCCGCGGUAAGACAGAGGGUGCAAACGUUGUUCGGAAUUACUGGGCGUAAAGCGUGUGUAGGCGGCCAUGCAAGUCGGAUGUGAAAGCCCUGGGCUCAACCCAGGAAGUGCACUCGAUACUGCGUGGCUUGAGUAUCGGAGAGGUUGGUGGAAUUCUCGGUGUAGAGGUGAAAUUCGUAGAUAUCGAGAGGAACACCGGUGGCGAAGGCGGCCAACUGGACGAAUACUGACGCUGAGACACGAAAGCGUGGGGAGCAAACAGGAUUAGAUACCCUGGUAGUCCACGCCGUAAACGAUGGGUGCUAGGUGUCGCGGGCUUUGACUCCUGCGGUGCCGUAGCAAACGCAUUAAGCACCCCGCCUGGGAAGUACGGCCGCAGGCUAAAACUCAAAG